UACCAGCACCCCGAGUGGUCGGGACGAUUAUUGGGCCUAAAGGCAUCCGUAGCCGGUCCUGCGAGUCUUCCGUUAAAUCCAGCUGCUCAACAGAUGGGCUGCGGAAGAUACUACAGGGCUAGGAGGCGGGAGAGGCAAGCGGUACUUUAUGGGUAGGGGUAAAAUCCGUUGAUCCAUUGAAGACCACCAGUGGCGAAGGCGGCUUGCCAGAAUGCGCUCGA
rnacentral:rRNA from 1 species